rnacentral:rRNA from 1 species
AGUGAACGCUGGCGGUAGGCCUAACACAUGCAAGUCGAACGGCAGCACAGUAAGAGCUUGCUCUUACGGGUGGCGAGUGGCGGACGGGUGAGGAAUACAUCGGAAUCUACUUUUUCGUGGGGGAUAACGGAGGGAAACUUACGCUAAUACCGCAUACGACCUACGGGUGAAAGCAGGGGAUCUUCGGACCUUGCGCGAUUGAAUGAGCCGAUGUCGGAUUAGCUAGUUGGCGGGGUAAAGGCCCACCAAGGCGACGAUGCGUAGCCGGUCUGAGAGGAUGAUCAGCCACACUGGAACUGAGACACGGUCCAGACUCCUACGGGAGGCAGCAGUGGGGAAUAUUGGACAAUGGGCGCAAGCCUGACCCAGCCAUACCGCGUGGGUGAAGAAGGCCUUCGGGUUGUAAAGCCCUUUUGUUGGGAAAGAAAAGCAGCAGGUUAAUACCCCGCUGUUCUGACGGUACCCAAAGAAUAAGCACCGGCUAACUUCGUG